CACGAUCCCCUCCUCUCGGCCUCCGUGGUCUCCCCCAACCCCGGCCUCCACUCCACAGCCGGCGCCGCCUCCGCCUCCUCCCGUGUCACCACCGCCCGUGAAGGCGCCUCCUCCCGUGACGAGACCACCGGUCACCGCGACGACGCCCCCGCCGGCGGCCGCACCGGCCGAGGCGCCCGCGGUGCUCCCUCCACUCGAGCAGCGAAGCCCACGGUUAGAUCCUCCAUCUCUCCUCCCACCGUCACAGGAUGACUCAGAUCCGAGUUUGACGAGGGACUCCUAGAGGAUCCCGACCUGGUUCGCCCUUCCUGUAUCAUCAGUUCAUCACCAGCGCCGACCCGUACGAUGCUAUCCCACAUGUCUCUUCCUUCCUUUUCCCCUGAGACAACAACAACCACGCUGAAUGUGAGGAGGUCGAGGACCCCAUCCUGGGGGUGCAGGAGUUGCUUGUUUGGUGUGGAUGUAGUUCACCCGCAAACUUGGUUGCCAGUGAUGAUGAAGAUGUAACAUGUGCAUUCUGUAAUAAUCUGAUAAUGAACAGUGAAGUUAGAUGCUAGCGCAUCCUCGGUAAUUUUGAAAAAAAAAUCAUGGCUCGAACCUUUUUAAAAGGAAAAAGUUAUUGUUGGAAUGAAAUAAUUUAGCGUAUCUACAGAUGCUGGUGGAUGAUAUUGGUGAUGUUACAAUCAAAAAUGAUGGAGCAACCAUUUUGAAGAUGUUGGAAGUCGAGCACCCAGCAGCAAAGGUGAUGCCUGUUAGCCAAAGCUUUCUAUUUUUAUUUUGCUUCUAUUGCUGCUUCGUGCUUAUCCUUUCGGGGGUCCAUUCAUUGUUAGAUUCUUGUUGAGUUGGCCAAGCUCCAAGAUCGGGAGGUUGGUGAUGGAACAACAUAUGUUGUCAUCAUAGCUGCAGAGUUGCUCAAGGUAUGAAAUGGAGCUUUAGCGGCAGUCUUUUUUUCGCAAUGAAUUUCCCAAGCAUUAUGCAUACAAAUUUACGAAGUUCUACUUUUCUUUACUAGAGCGCCAAUGAACUUGUGAGGAAUAAUAUCCAUCCGACCUCAAUUAUUAGUGGCUACAGGGUGAGCCCUGUAAUUUUUAUUUUAGCAGCAUUACCAUUUUUAUUUGAUUGAACAUUCUGAAGUCACAUUAUCUCUUACAUUUUUUUUGCCUUCAUAUUCUACCAGCUCGCUAUGCGUGAGGCUUGCAAGUAUGUCGAAGAAAAGCUCUCUGUCAAGGUAAAACCAUAGUUGCCUGCUUGAACAAAUGGCCACAUCUUGCUGCUCGAUUCGAGGCAUAUUGUCUUGCUGAAAUGCGUAUUCUUCUAUACUUUCAGGUUGAUAAACUUGGAAAAGAUUCCCUUGUUAACUGUGCAAAAACUGGCAUGUCUUCGAAAUUGAUUCACAGCGACAGAGAUUUCUUUGCAAAUCUGGUAAGUUCCUAUGGUCAUGUGUACUUCAGGUUUCUCAAUCAUGCCCCCUUUUUUACUUAUCUUUCUACUGUAUAACUCUGGAAUUUGAUUGUGUGGUUGUUAUGUUUGAUUAUCCUUGUUGUAUAUUUGAUCAGUGGUGUUUGUUAACUCUAACAUAAGUACUUUUAGACGAGAAAGUAAGUACUUAGUUUAUGCAUGUGUAUUGAGGUGUUCUGUCCACUGCUAUGGUUUGCUUUGGUCUGAUAUUUUUAUCUAACGAGGUUGCAGACACAUUGACCUGGAGCGACGAUGGAGAAGACGGGGCCAAAAAUCCAAAAACAUCUAUGCAGUGUUGCUAACAUAGUGGUAAGAUUUAUACUCCCUUGCCUCUUAUGCAGUGUGGCAGAUUUGGAAAGAAAUAAGCAGAGAACUUUUUAGGCCAAAGAGAUGGAUAUGGAAGAGUUUUUUUUUCAUGGGUGGAAUAGUCGGUCUCUGAAGUUAUUUACAAUGUUAACCUCCCUUUGGAAGCAUUUGGCACUUAGCCUUUCCUCCUGUGCAGCCGAGCUGACUUCUUGACAUCCUAAAAUAUGUGAAUAUGGGCAGGUGAUGGUAUUCAUAAGAGUAGCACACAAACAAAGAUUUGGGUGGUUUGGAAUUUUUAUCGGAGGUUUGUACUACUAUUGUGCAUGUUGUUCGUUAAUUUGUUUGUUGUUCUUGCACAUAGAUCGACAACCAAUCGUUCGGUGUUGUUGCAGGCCCUUUGUUGUUACAUAAUUUCAAAUCAAUUUUCUUAAUCAUGUACAAAUAUUUCAAUAAAUGGCUGCGUUAAACUAUGUCUACUAUCAUUACAGUUAGUAACUCAUAUUUUAUCCAAUAACAAGAGAUUGGCACUCAAUUAUCGAUUGUCAUGAAAAUAUUGAGUUCGGCACAUAGUCAAUAUUUUCUUCUUACAAAAGGAGUACAAAUCCUCUGCUACAACUUUUAUGGUAAAAAUAAUACUUACAUUAAAAUGAAACUAAGAUCUAACUAAAACAAAAAGGUUGUGACCAAUCAGAAAAUUGUCUUGCGUAUUUUUGUAAGUCCAUAUACCCCACAAAAAUAAUUCCAUACAUGUGGACGCAUCAUUCUAAAAAAAUCAGCAUGUUCACUGUGUAACAGUAUUGGCAUGAAAGGCCUAUUGAUGUAUGGUUAUGUUCAGUACCUUUGCGCAUGAAAGGCCUAUUGAUGUAUGGUUAUGUUCAGUACCUUUGCUCUUAUAUGUGAUACUGCUAUUGUGUGAAAUAUCAUUACUGUACAUGAUUUCACUCGCAUACACGAUGUUGUUAAGAUUGCUCUUACGGUAUUUUUUUUUUCGAAAGUCGAGUUUUGGUAACAGUUUCUUACAGAUUGUUGUCUUGAGGUUUACAAACAGUAAUUUGAAUUGGAGGUAAUAUGGGUGUUACUUUGAUCCAUGCUUUAAAAAAGAACAAUAUAGUACUUAAAUACGGGAGAUAAGAGAGGAGAGGGGAGCAAAGGUGAAGAUUGAAAGAGUUUCUCUACUAUUAAAGGGGGCACAUAUUAGAGGAGAAGGAUAACAAUUGUCUCGCAUUGGCCUUGGAUAUCAUGUCUUUAUUAUAAGCACACAUGAAGUUGAAGCUCUUGUACACACUAACAUAACAAUAUAAAAUACAUUCUUUGCAUUGCUCUAAAUAUACGAAAAAUAACGAGUGAUACCCUAUAUUUGAUUUACAAAAUCAGCAAUCAUUUGGGAUACUAUGUCCUCAAUUAGCAUGUAAUUGAUUAAAAUAUGCUUCUGUUUUUAUUAUAUUAUAUUUAUUUUUUACUUUGGUUAGCAUAUAUUCUCUGCAAUCAUUCCAACUGAACGGGUGAGGAAAUAAUUCCGUUUAAUGCCUUUGUUUUCCUUGGUUGUUUUUACGGUCCAUAUUUCAGUAUUUCUGAUCUUACCUUUUGAAGAUGGUAGAAAUAACAAUACACGUGGAUGUCAGUCCCUGCGAGUAUUCUCUCGGGUCACAGCCCGAUGGCACACCUGACGGCUACAAGUGCUCUAUCGAUGUUGAUCUUUGGGAGUAUUCUCUCUGGUCGUAGCCUGCCAGCACACCGGAUAGCUACGACUGUCGUCUAGGAGAUUGCAUGACUCUAGGUCACCGUCGCGGCACCGCUGCCGAGGUCAACUGUCGCCACCAUCAAGGUCCGAGAGGAUCAUCACCGCAGUACGUAACUGGUGGUAUCUUCUCUCUGGUGCUUCAUGUUGGUUCCCAUGGACCAUGUUGUUAUGUGUUGUGUUCCCUCCUGUAUCCCUCAUUUGAUUCUAACCUGGUAUUUCGAUUCGUUCUCUUGGUUUAGAUUAUGCAACAUUAGGUGAUCUUGUGUUUUCCCGCAUUUAUAGAAGUGGAUCACAGAUAGUAUAGGAUGGAGCAAAGAUAAAUGCCUUGAGAGGUGAGCUGCUACAAUUGUUACUGUGCUAUUACACAUCUAGGGGAAAUGGCUAGGGGAGAGAAGACUAUCGGGGAGAAAUAAAUAUAUGAGAUAGCUAAGAAUCAUGCCAAAAUUCGUCAUCUUCAAGCUGAACCUUUUGUCUCAACAGGUAACUUUCUGUUAGUACCUAGAAUAUAGUUUGAUGGAUGGAUUAGAAUAAUUGUAGCCUGGUUGAUGCAAUUGCUAAUUAUUAGGCACUGGAAACAGAAGAUUAGCUUUGACAAGUAGGCUAAAACUACCGAGAGUUUUCAUAUGACCAUGAAAUCAAAGUUGUAGAGGACGUCGAUAGCUUUCCAGCGGUAUCUUAAUUGCACAAUUCCUACCAACGGAUUGAAAGUUAUUGUUGAAACAAGUUUUGUCCGACAGUCUCCUUUUAAUGGUUACUGUAACAUGUUUCGAAACUUUAUGCUAUAAUAACAUUAGAAUUUUAAUGUGACCUGAACAUGGAACUUGUAGGUGAUUUUCUAUAGAUAUCUGAAGAGUACUUGUUUGCUUGAUUUGGAUAUUCAGAUUUAAAUGUGUAUAAAUAAUAAACAAUGGUGAGGAAAUGAUACAAAUACAUAAUUUGUUCAAGUAGCGCAAUUUAAGGCUUCAUUUAGUUCAAUAGCGUAGGUAAUUUUGGUCAUUUGAAACACCCAAAUAAAAUACUAUGGUAUUUUUUCCCACUUCAUUCUUAUCACGCUCACGCUGCUACUUCAGAAGUUACGCUAUGCUAAUUAUAAACAAAUUUGGUUGAUGUGGUCUAUCCAAGGUCUGUCCCCAACAAUCUAUAGCCGCACGCUCAAGGUUCAGGAAUUUGGAAAGCGGCAACACAUCUUCGCUAGAGCUGCUCUGGUAUGUUUUUUCACAUACCAAGAAUCAGGCUGUACACUUGUUCCUUACUUCAUUUAUAAGCCAUGUUCAUCCAUCCAUUUCUUAUAGAGGCUAGAGUUUUUAUCUUGUUCUUUAUGGCUUAGGUUCCAUCAACAGUUGUGUACUAUCAUUUUGCGAAGAUAGGAUGCCCUAUAUCAAAAUAAGAUAUAUGCAAAACAAUGUAGAGGUAUAUUGGAGGAAGCAAAAAUGAACUCAAACGUUUGGGGUAGGGAAAUCAUAUAAAAUUUUCUUAUUUGUUAUUAUUUUGCUUCACUUUCUCUGGUCUCAGUAGUUACGAAUUUUUGUAGAAUUAGUAGGCAUGGGUGUCACGAGGGCAGAGGCAUCUUAACUAAGUUCUUACCAUGCUCUGCCAGAUACCCUAAUAGUUAUUUCGUACAUGAACAAACUGCAAAAGAUAUGGGAUGGUCUGUCUUUGAUGGACGACAAGUACAUAUAUAAAGUCAACCAGACCAAGUGCCAUGAGAUUGAGUACUUCAUAAACCAGCUUCAAAAGAAGAGCUAUAUCAAGCCAUACCAGCUAUAAUUACCCUAGCCGAUGCAAAGAUAAUUGGUGACUGAUGUCCAUGGAAACAAAGACUUUAGCUUGCGAAUUUAUUCUUACAUCUAUUAUGUAUAUAUACUAUUAAUUUUCAGCUAUCUUGUGUGCAAGAAAUGCGCAUGGGAGGUUUCGGCUUCACUUAAGUGUGUCUACGGACAUUUAUACUUCUAUUACAUCUGCAAACUACAAAUAUGGAAUAUGAUUUUUUUAUAUAGAAUCUCUUAGGCCCCUAGCUGUAUUAGUUGGUGACCCCUAUGUUUGCUAACAGAGUUAGUUGAUGAUUCCAAUACGGAGAGCAUUCGGAUGUUGUAUAUUGUUUAUUUCUAAUCAAUAAACGAUAACUCUUAGAUUAAUAAUUCUCUCUAAUAGUAUCUGCAGUAUAUAUCUAAUAAUUGUCUCUUUGAAUAUUAAUUCAAGUAAUGUCUUUUGGCUUUUAAGUUUUACGAGCUUGCCGAUUGCUUAAAAUCAUUCUAAUAGUGUAUUAUUGUAUUUAAUUAAACUGAAACCUUGUAGCACUGUAAAAACAUAUUCUAUUUCCCUAACUUUGUAGAAAUCAUUCAUGUUCGUAACUCAUUUUUUGUCCGAGCGGAAUAAGAGUAAGGGUUGAGCGUAAGCGAGAUGUGAAUUGGCUAUGGUUUGUUUAGUUACUAUUGUCUGAGGGGAAUAAUUUCUUACUUUAGAAAAUGUGGCAUAUUCCAUUUCAUUAGAGAUGGCUUUGCAGCAAAUUGUAUGAGCGGGCCGUUCAUAUAUUUUGUCAUCAAGUCAUAUAAUUUUUUGCUUAUAAUAGACAGGUAAAUGCAUUGGUUGUUUGCUUCAAGGUUAAUAACAAACAAGCUGGUGUGUCGGUUGCAUGCUCAACAACAGACAUCAUAUUUUUUGUUUUGUGUUAAUGCAUGACAUUCACCCGCAUGCUAGAAUGUGGUAAUGUCUCACCAGACAUUGAAUCUGUCUUCUUGACUCGGGGGUGUCACACGGGCGGUGCAUGCCUCACUGCCUUGAUGGAGGUGGUGAAUCGACACGAACAAGCGAAGAGAGGGGGUUUAGGGUGGAGAGCGGGUUGGUUGGCAGGGGACUCCUCCUUGCCGAACCGUGGGGAAGCAUGGUGUGAAGGAGAGAGAACGCCGUGGCAAAGGUAAGGUGGGCGUCAUCCGAUUUUAAUGGAAGAAAUGUCUCGCUACGGUGGAAAACAGAACGUGAAGGGGAGGAUCCGACAAGAAAUGGGAAAGAGUGUGUCGUGGGUGGAGUUUUUAUGUUGGAACCACAUGUUCGAAUAACAUGACAUGUAGUUCGGUCGAGAUUUGGAUUUUGAGGAGCCCGCUUGGUUUAUAUAAGGUCGAGAAAUGUUUCAGUGUUUUCCAAAUUCAAACUUCGGUUUGGAGGUAAUAUCCUUGUGCAUAGAUAUGACCUACAUUUGAAUACAUGCACUUUGGUUUUAAACUCUUAACUAGAGUCACUCAUCUUUCAUAAUGUUGGUAGAGUGGAUGAACAAAUUCACCCCGAGUAUCCCGAUAUGUUGUGUCACCCCGAGUCAAAUUCGCAGUUUUCUCAUCCUUUUCUCGAAUAGUCUCUGACAUGUCCCACAGCUAUAGCACUCCGCCUCCUUCUGUACUUGUCAUCCGCACUUUGCCAUGUGCACUGAACCCCACAGAAUAUACGACCAUGUACUCUCUCCGCUUAUGACAAUUCAGACUUUCCGUCACUUUCUCAGAUUCUCCAUGGUCAACUACCGUCCAUCGAACCGCCACUGAUAGACCCAGUCACCAACUUGAAUCCGAUACUCGCCAACACUGCUUCAGCACCCUUUGCACAAUUUUGUCUGACCACAUGUCUGACCACCAGUGCCUUGGUCUAUCGCUGUGUUCCGUGCUUAUCGCACGCCUCGCCGCUAUCACCGCGUGGAGCCUCUGCCGUCCUGGUCGAGUGUCCAAGGCCGCGAACCCACAGCACUCAACCCCCACUGCAGAGAACCACCGAUCAUCACCGACCGAUGCCGAGUAUCACGUCUCCAUCAGACCUCUGGUACCCAAUCUGAUCCACGCGUCUCUCGCUAUCCCACUGAAAUAGGCUACGAUUCUCCGAAUUCUUACCCGUAGCCCCUCCAUCAGCACAGAGUGAAGUCUUUCACCAGACUCCAGCUUCACCUUCAACAUGACUCCAUGUAGCUGGUCGUGCUACCCCACGCCCUGUCGACUUCAAGCUCUUAUGUGUGCACUGCCUUGAAUCAACCCUGCGUCAUAGUCUGUCGAAGCCGCACAAGCCCUCAUGCAUGCACCACGUGUUUCCACGUCCCAGAAGUUGGCCACCAUCAGCAUCACGCUCCUAUGUCGUCGUCGCUGAAAUCACCGCCGUCUUCUGCUUUGACCGACAUCCCCGUCGAUCUGUCAGACUGUCUAGUCCGAACUAGCCGAAAUUAACCGACUGCAACCAUGCUCCACCCUGCGUCAUGCCCUCUAUACAUCUCCAUGCAUUGACUGACGUCCUGUGCUUACAUGAUCUUACCAACAUACUCCAAACUUCUCUGAGGCUUAUACGCAUGUUGCCAGUCUUGAUUUCCUUUUGAUCAUCACGUCGAACAACGUUGCUGCUGCAAUCGAACCAUCUUCAGGAUCCACGUACAAAAAGCAAAGAAUUUCCAAAAAAUAGCAUCAUGAUCCUUCUUGUUUGCCCGUACACAAGUUUCCAGACUAUUCUUCUCAUCCUUCACACACAUACCCAAUUGAUCCAUGGCCAUCAAUGUUCACGCCUUAGUGACAAGACAGCACCAAGCGACACCAUUUGACUGCAGCAAAACAACAUCCUUUUCUUUAACAAAUCUCAUCACCGCAACAGCGUGCGUACAACAGCCCGAGUACCGCGGUCCAACCUUACGCCCAUGAACACCAGCCUCCAGCGCGGUCUCCACGCCAGCUUGGGCCAAUCCGGCAGCACACCAGGCCACUUUGCCUUCGACCACACGCCAGAUCGAUCUGGAACCCCGUAACGCUAUGUGACGCCACCACGUGGGCACGAUUCAAUCUCGAUCUGAACUCACCAAGUUCUCUGGUACACGCCGCCGCCGCCGUGUCCGAUCAAUCUGCUCCCAGGACAUGUUGAACCGAUCUCGUUUGAGCACUGCCAUGUCCCCACGCAUGCUGUCCGGUCUCCAUCGCUCAAUUCCCUGAUUGCUUAUAACCGAUCUCAUCAACAACCCAACGACCAUCACGGAACAGUCACUUCCGCACAUCAUCUUUGCGCCGAACUUGAUGACGAUCCAUCCUCUAAAUCAACAAAUCGACCUUCUCGUAACCUUGCUCAUGAUACCACUUGUUAGAAUAAUCCGANACGACUUCAUAUCCUGUCUAAACACAAUACUACUCAGAGUCCAACUGUAACCUACCUUGUACAAUAAUAUUCGACACAACUCUAACACACACAUGUAACUCAUCCUUCUUUUCUUUUGGCGGGUGGAUCUAAUCCUGAUAUGCUUGAAAUCCAAUGAUAUAUAUACCGGCCGGCCACCCUCUAGAUCAUUUGUGGUUAUGUAUGGCCACUCUCUUAUUAAAGUUGAAAAUCACGUUGUAAUCACAAAAUGAAACAGUUAUCCGCUGUUGAUACAGAUGUGAACAUUGUAUAUUUUCAAAGAAUUGUGGCUAGGCUGCACAAAAACAUACAAACAUGUGGAUAUAAUAUUUGGUAUUGCAGAUUCACAUAUUUAUCGUCAGAGUUUGUUUGUAUUCCAUGGGCUGUGUUUUUUCCUCACCAAGGUUUGGGCCUCACUUGGCUUGUAAAAAAACUUCAAAAUUUUAUUAUGGAACACAUGGAAAUAUUGAGGAUUUGUUGGAACUAUACAUAUUCUUCAAAUUGACAAGUACAGAUAUUUAAUUGUUCCCGUUAUCAGAAUAUCUGCACUUUUCUCCUAAUAAACUGUUGGUUUGGCUCACUUUCUUCUCCAAAUUAUUUUCGAGCUCGUUUAACAAGCCCGGUUUAUGGAACACUAAAUUCAUAGGAAAAUUUUAAAAACAGGCAUGAAGCUUGUGGCCGGAAUGGAGUACCACGUACUCUCUCAGUCCCAAGAUUUUUGUUUUGGAUUUGUCUAAAUACGGAUGCAUCUGAUCAUGUUUUAGUGUUACAUACAUCCAUAUCUAGACCACUGUAAGACAUGAAUUUUGGGACGGAGGUAAUAUAUGUUUUGGUUUUCAAGUAUGACAACUCUUGACCUCUGCAAAAUAAGCAAAAUAAAUCUUUCCUUUUACACGGCUAUUUGAAGACCAAUCUUUUCACGAAUAUACUCUGCCCCGUAACAUGCAUCCAUGGUUUUGUUUUCCAGUCUGGUACAACUUUACUUCCAAAUAUGUAUAGGGUGUAUCUAAACACGUUUUAGUAUCAGAUACAUUCAUAUUUAGACAAAUCUUAGACCGAUAAUUCAAGAUGGAGGAGGUAGUAUAGUAGCCUUAAUGCGCCGAAACCAUGAGCAUUGCUAGAAGAAGACUUGGCCUUACUAUGAAUUAAAGGUCAACCAAUCACAUGCCUAUGGGUUGUUGAGUCGAGAUCUGAUCGUGUUUUCACUGAAAGAAGGUUUCACAAGAAGUUACUUAUGAUUAUGAAGGGUAUUUUUUUCAUUGAUAUUUUACUUUCCCUAUAAGCCAAGAAGAUGCACACAACCAAUAAUACAAUUAUUACAGAUUCAAAAUAAGCCCUAGGUCUAUGAAGUGGCUGAAAUACAUCCCCCCCAAAAAAAGUGGCUGAAAAAAGAAGGAAAAGAAACUCUAAAAGAGUAUCAUGCGACAAUUAGUAUCGAAGACAUCCGUCCCCAUGGGCAGUAGCCGCGGCAAGAAUCACCCUCUUAACAUUCACUGAAUUCUUUUUUUCCUGAAUACCAGCAGUAUACAACAAAUAUAUCAAUAGUACCACAAAAUCUUUGGUAUCCAUAUGGAUACCAAGGACUACCCAUGGCACUACCCCCUCUAGAAGUUUCCUUCCUUCUACCAUAAGUCCCUUGAACCCUGUCUUUUGCAGUAGCGCCCAUGACAACAAUAACUUGCGACACCCGAAGAAAACCUAGUCUGGAUGACACAAUAUUUUCUUGCAGAAAUAACAUCAUUGCGGCACAACCAAAUAGCUUAGCACCCAUGACAGUAGAGAGUAAGACGUCAUCCUAGAUCAUCUAUCCAUUGCCCAAGCAUACGUGUGAUGCUAGUUUGAGGAAUAAAAAGAAUAUGUGUACUAUCCAUGCGAAGCGAGCAAGCGUGAGCAAAUGAUCUUUGGUGAAAGCUAUGCCUUACCCAAAUUUGUUUGGAGUUGCAUUUCUAACUUUCACGUGCGAGGACAAGAAAAUGUUAAUACAAAUGAGUUCAUACAAAUUUGUACAAAGUAUAAUUAUGUGAAAUCUAACUAGUAGAUUUUUAGUGCUUCCAAGAAACUUCUUGGGUUUCUUCUAAACUCGUACCUAUAAUUUUUAAAAUUAUAUACAUUCAUGAUAUCCAUGUAACUCGGGAGCCAAAUUUGUGUUGCACAUUUUUUAUCCGCAUCAAGAUCCAUAAAAUCAUUUUAAGGCGGUGUACUAGAGCUAGCACAACUAAAAAAAUGAAAAGUGCUACUACUCAUUUGGUAUCUGUACGGCUGCUAGCUAUUUCGUUCUCCUAGAUUGCAUGGCUGAGAUGUUGAUGAUAUGUGUGGUUGCUUCCAUUGCAUAGGGCGGCAGCGACGGCGACUUGGAGAACAACAUAGACCAGGCUCAUGAGCGUGCACUGCAGCUAAUCAUACGUGUGCUGGCUAUAGUGGGUUUGCUCACUUUGAUUAUGGAUGUGCGCAUGGUGCUCUACAAGCCGGCUAGUGGAGUAGUCUUCGGCCACAACAAGCUCGCCUACUACAUCACCCUUGCCGUCAUCUUUACCUUUGGAGUUGGAGAAGUUUUCAUUGCAGUCUGGAUUUCCCGGUUCAGCAACAGCAAGAGGCGUUGCUGGAUCGGGGGCUUUGUUCUAUUCCUCUCCAUUUGGCCAUUUGUUGGAAUACUCAGCAUGGGCGGUUUCACUUAAUGUAUGAAAUAUGGUCAGAGAAUUCCUUAAUGCUAUUUUUCUUUGUUCUUCAAUAAAAUAGCAUAACACUGCAUGCAUUUUUUAAGGAAUUGAUUAUUUUCACUAAACCAUGCUUCAUUUUGUAUUAAGUUUUGCUUCAAAGAGUAAUGACGUUAUUUGGAAAAAAAAUUAAAAAUAUYCCACCUAUCAACCGUGGACAUGGACGGUUGGUCGGAUGGACCAAUUUACUAGUUCAAGCAAAAUCUUAGAAAAGUAGUUUUCUAAAGUUUCGCCUUCCUUGUGACUACCACUCGAGAGGCCAAUGACAGGGAGGCGUAUCCCGGUGCCUCUGCUCCGGCUAGUAGUUUAGGUUAGCAUCUUUUAGUCGUCGCGGGUGCGACGCUUGGGUGGAUGGCGGCAGUUCUAUGAGUUUAUCUUCUGGGCACCGAUCUUUUUCGAGUUCAUCCGAAGUAGUCGACGGAACUCUCACGUAGAUUCCCACUGUCUCCUGGGGCGGUGAGUUUAGGAUUUCUCGUAAUACUUGCUAGAUGACGAGAUUCGAUGCCAAGUGCUUCAGAUCAAUUCAAGGGUUCGACGAUAAUGAUUGUGGUUUUAGCGUGCUAGUCGUUAGGCGCAUGUGCACGAAGACUUCUCGACUAACAUCGACAAGGUCAAGUCGGCUCCGAUACAGGAGCAGUGACAACGGUGCGUCGAUAGCAAAAAAUAGGAAGUUAUGAUGUACUCAACUACCAGUGUAGAGCUAAUCCAGUUGGUCAGGUAGUCAAGAUGAAAAUAUUUCUAAUUUGUUGGCUCCUUAGGUGGGCUUGAGAAGAAAAUAUUUCUAACUUCAAAAAGCUUUAGCAUAUUAUUUUCGCUUUUACCAUUGGGGAGUUGUGCUUUUUUUUUCUUUUUUCUCUUUAAGAGCUAGCGGGGAGUUGUGUUAAGGAAAUCAUCAUGCGUUCUUUGAUUAGGCCCCACAAUAUAUAGCACAUCUUAUAUAGUUUGGAUUGUUAGAAACAAUUUUGUAACAGAUAAAUCUAUAUUCCAGUCAACCUUUACAGAAUAUUAUCUUUUAUGUAACAGGGGCGUCCAUUGUGCAACGAGAAGAAUAAGGUCGUUAUCAGUCUAUGGUGGCAAGAUGUGGAUUGGUGGUGGUGAAGCCGGUGCAAGUCAGAUAUCCAACCUUGGUUGUUUCUUGUUCUAUUUUAUCUAUUCAGCAAUGACGAUUUCUACGCCCUUUGUUAAGCUGUUGCCCCAGCAAUGAUACAUCAGUACUCUCAUCGUGGUUUGAUGUUUAUUUGAAAAUAAUAGUGUGGUUGUAUGAAAAUAAUUAUUGAUGUUGCUUCAACAUGUAUGUUUGCAAUAAAUAUUAAUGUGUAUUCAUACUGUUAACAAUCUCAGGACUUUUGCUUUGGGAUGUUGUUACAGCAAUAAUUCACUUGGUGGAUGUUGUAUGGCUCAAUUUGUUUUUCUAAAGAAGUAACAAAAGUUUAGCACAUCUUUGUAAUAACAUUUGGGACAAACCAAUCCAUACUGCUUUCAUAAAUUACACCAAAAUCUGCUGAACCGACCCAAAAUUUGAUAUGAUAUUUCACCAUGUCAUUUCAGCCAUAACAAAAAUAAAUAAGAAUAACAACAGUAACAAAGGUAUGCAAGGAGAGCAAGUUUAUAACUUCAAUUCCUAAUGAUCCAACAGCCUUAUUUUUUGGGCGAAUAGUAGGAGUACUUCCAGCCUUUUUAUCAAGCGAUGCACACAUUCAUCUAUUUAAUCCAACAGCCUCAUAUCUUCCAAUGGAUCGAGUGAAGGAUGGAGAUGAAAUUAUUACGGGAAACAAACAAUCAGGUUGUUAGUUAGUACCUGGAGGAGCUCGAUGGGAGCCCUCGAAGUGUAGUGCUCCCUUGUCCUUUCGCGCGUCCGUAGAGGGCUAGAGGCCAUGCGCAGCUACCUCGCCGGAAGGCGAGAACACAUGCACGUACGUGACUUACUCCGGUGCCUUGCUUGGCUGCUCUUCAUGUCACCGGCGAGGUGCGUCGACCUUGGUCGAGCUUUACGGCCGCGCCUAGCUUAUCUUCCUGCAUGGUUACGAGCUCGAUCGAUCAAUCGGACGCCAUCCAGGACCUGGCGCAGAUCUGCAUCUGAAUCAUUGCAGCAGGAGAUGAUGGAGAGGGUCAACGGUGGAUGAUUGCGGUUUAAUAUCGAGAAGAGAAAGGAUUCCGGGGCAGAGGAAGAAGACUUUAGGGAAGAGUACAAUACAGCGAGCACCUUGUGCUUGCGGCUUCUCUAAUUUAUUAUGUUGGCUCGUUGGUUCUGCGCACCAACGUGGUGCGUGUAUGUAG
rnacentral:lncRNA from 1 species